CGCAACUCCGGCAGGUUUAGGGUAAAGGGGCGCUCCGCUCUCUCCGCGCGCCCCCUGCAGCCCUGGACGCAGCACCUCCGUUUGGGACGCCCUACGCCCACCUUAACUUGAGGCUCCCAUCCACGCAGCCUCUGCAAGCCUCACCGCAACCGUGCUAGGCGCGUCGGGUGGGGCGGGAAUAAAGUUUUUCCAACCCAGUUUGGGGAGAGGGCUGGAUGGGAAGGACCCUCCCUGCUGCAGACUUCAUGGCAGGCUGCACUGUGUCCCCUCGGCUCCACGGCUGCCCCGGGGGCGCUGCUUUCGGAGGCUACCAGCAGCCCUGAAAAUAGCAACACCUUGUUAGGAUGUUAGGAAGUCAGCUCCCU
rnacentral:lncRNA from 1 species